GUCAGGGGGUGUGUGGGGGGGAUUUCUUAAUUCCCAUCUCGUUCUCUCUUUCUCUCCCCGACGUCUCGUUCUCUCUUUCUCUCCCCGACGUCUCGUUCUCUCUUUCCUUCCCUGACGUCUCGUUCUCUCUUUCCCUCCCUGACAUUCUCUCUUUCCCUCCCUGACGUCUCGUUCUCUCUUUCCCUCCCCGACGUCUCGUUCUCUCUUUCCCUCCCCGACGUCUCGUUCUCUCUUUCCCUCCCCGACGUCUCGUUCACUCUUUCCCUCCCUGACGUCUCGUUCUCUCUUUCCCUCCCUGACGUCUCGUUCUCUCUUUCCCUCCCUGACGUCUCGUUCUCUCUUUCCCUCCCUGACGUCUCGUUCUCUCUUUCCCUCCCUGACGUCUCGUUCUCUCUUUCCCUCCCUGACGUCUCGUUCUCUCUUUCCCUCCCUGACGUCUCGUUCUCUCUUUCCCUCCCUGACGUCUCGUUCUCUCUUUCCCUCCCCGACGUCUCGUUCUCUCUUUCCCUCCCCGACGUCUCGUUCUCUCUUUCCCUCCCCGACGUCUCGUUCUCUCUUUCUCUCCCCGACGUCUCGUUCUCUCUUUCCCUCCCCGACGUCUCGUUCUCUCUUUCCCUCCCCGACGUCUCGUUCUCUCUUUCCCUCCCCGACAUCUCGUUCUCUCUUUCCCUCCCCGAUGUCUCGUUCUCUCUUUCCCUCCCCGACGUCUCGUUCUCUCUUUCCCUCCCUGACGUCUUUUUCUCUCUUUCCCUCCCUGACGUUCUCUCUUUGCCUCCCUGACGUCUCGUUCUCUCUUUCCCUCACGUUCUCUCUUUCCCUCCCUGACGUCUCGUUCUCUCUUUCCCUCACGUUCUCUCUUUCCCUCCCUGACGUCUCGUUCUCUCUUUGCCUCCCUGACGUCUCGUUCUCUCUUUCCCUCACGCUCUCUCUCCCUCCCUGACGUCUCAUUCUCUCUUUCCCUCCCCGAUGUCUCGUUCUCUCUUUCCCUCCCCGACGUCUCGUUCUCUCUUUCCCUCCCCGACAUUCUCUCUUUCCUUCCCUGACGUCUCGUUCUCUCUUUCCCUCCCCGACGUCUCGUUCUCUCUUUCCCUCCCCGACGUCUCAUUCUCUCUUUCCCUCCCCGAUGUCUCGUUCUCUCUUUCCUUCCCCGACGUCUCGUUCUCUCUUUCCCUCCCUGACAUUCUCUCUUUCCCUCCCUGACGUCUCGUUCUCUCUUUCCCUCCCCGAUGUCUCGUUCUCUCUUUCCCUCCCCGACGUCUCGUUCUCUCUUUCCCUCCCUGACGUCUCGUUCUCUCUUUCCCUCCCUGACGUCUCGUUCUCUCUUUCCCUCCCUGACGUUCUCUCUUUCCCUCCCUGACGUCUCGUUCUCUCUUUCCCUCCCUGACGUUCUCUCUUUCCCUCCCUGAUGUCUCGUUCUCUCUUUCCCUCCCUGACGUUCUCUUUCCCUCCCUAACGUCUCGUUCUCUCUUUCCCUCCCUGACGUCUCGUUCUCUCUUUCCCUCCCUGACGUCUCGUUCUCUCUUUCCCUCCCUGACGUUCUCUCUUUCCCUCCCUGACGUCUCGUUCUCUCUUUCCCUCCCUGACGUCUCGUUCUCUCUUUCCCUCCCUGACGUCUCGUUCUCUCUUUCCCUCCCUGACGUUCUCUCUUUCCCUCCCUGACGUUCUCUCUUUCCCUCCCUGACGUUCUCUCUUUCCCUCCCUGACGUUCUCUCUUUCCCUCCCUGACGUUCUCUCUUUCCCUCCCUGACGUCUCGUUCUCUCUUUCCCUCCCUGAUGUUCUCUCUUUCCCUCCCUGACGUUCUCUCUUUCCCUCCCUGAUGUCUCGUUCUCUCUUUCCUUCCCUGACGUUCUCUCUUUCCCUCCCUGACGUUCUCUCUUUCCCUCCCUGACGUCUCGUUCUCUCUUUCCCUCCCUGACGUUCUCUCUUUCCCUCCCUGAUGUCUCGUUCUCUCUUUCCCUCCCUGACGUUCUCUUUCCCUCCCUGACGUCUCGUUCUCUCUUUCCCUCCCCGACGUCUCGUUCUCUCUUUCCCUCCCCGACGUCUCGUUCUCUCUUUCCCUCCCCGACGUCUCGUUCUCUCUUUCCCUCCCUGACGUCUCGUUCUCUCUUUCCCUCCCUGACGUCUCGUUCUCUCUUUCCCUCCCUGACGUUCUCGCUUUCCUUCCAUGACGUCUCUUUCUCUCUUUCCCUCCCUGACGUCUCGUUCUCUCUUUCCCUCCCCGACGUCUCGUUCUCUCUUUCCUUCCCUGACGUCUCGUUCUCUCUUUCCCUCCCCGACGUCUCGUUCUCUCUUUCCCUCCCCGACGUCUCGUUCUCUCUUUCCCUCCCUGACGUCUCAUUCUCUCUUUCCCUCCCUGACGUCUCGUUCUCUCUUUCCCUCCCCGACGUCUCGUUCUCCCUUUCCUUCCCCGACGUCUCGUUCUCUCUUUCCCUCCCUGACGUUCUCGCUUUCCCUCCAUGACGUCUCUUUCUCUCUUUCCCUCCCUGACGUCUCGUUCUCUCUUUCCCUCCCCGACGUCUCGUUCUCUCUUUCCCUCCCCGACGUCUCGUUCUCUCUUUCCCUCCCCGACGUCUCGUUCUCUCUUUCCCUCCCCGACGUUCUCUCUUUGUCAGCCUCUAUCCAGAAGCGCUUGAAGAAAGAGAAAAGAUUGAAGAGGAAACUACAGGAAGUGUUGUCGUUUGAGUCCAAGAGGAGGGAGAGAGUUGAGGAUGCUCUGAAACACUGUUCCUCUCUCUCUCCUCCCAGCUGCAGCAACGAUAUUGAGGAACCAGAAGAGGAACCUGAACUGAAUGGUAACCAGCAUGACAAUCCUACAGUCCAAGAAUCCUGUUCGUUCCUGAAGACCCCGCUACUGUUCUAAUUACAUCGCUGCGAGCUCAUCACGGAACACCCGGCCUGUUGCCACGACAGCCUGGAAAGGGAACAACUCUCCUGUUUGGAUUGACUGAAAGGAGAGGGGAGGGACGUUUAAAAGAAAUGAACUGAUUAACUAAAAAGGUGGUCAGACUGCGUCAGAAUGUUCCGUCGUUAGUUCAUUCUGUCGUUUAUUCAUCCCUCUGUAUUUGGACUGAUGGAAAUACCUUUUCUUAUGUUCUUAUCUCUCUCUCUCUCUCUCUCUCUCUCUCUGUCUCUCUCUCUCUCUUUCCAUCUCUCUGUCUCUCUUUCUCUCUCUAUCCCUCUAUCUCUCUGUGUCUCUAUCUCUCUGUCUCUCUCUCUCUCUGUCUCUCCCUCUCUCUGUCUCUCCCUCUCUCUGUCUCUCUAUCCCUCUGUCUCUCCCUAUCUCUCUGUCUCUCUCUUUCUCUCUGUGUCUCUCUCUCUUUAUUUUGGGAAAUAUUGAAAGCAUAAACAUCUGUUCCUAGCCACUGAGCUCUAACUCCUCACCUUUGACCCCUGGACCUUGGGCCUAUCAGAGUGAGGGCGGUUGUGUGCUACGUGUUUAACUAUUGUUUAAUCACAGAGAGUGAAGUGAGGAGUCUGCAGAAAGACCUGCUAGAUAGAUAGUACUGAGUGCGUCCCAAAAAGACUACUUAUAUAGCACCCUGGUUUAUAUUGUCUGGUUGGAGUUUAAAAAAGAUCAAUACAGUUUAAUAUACUGAACAAAAAAUAUAAACACAACAUGCAACAAUUUCUAAGAUUUUACUGAGUUACAGUUUAUAUGAAGGAAAUCAGUCAAUUGAUAUGAAUUCAUGAGAACCUAAUCUAUGGAUUUCACAUGACUGGAAAUACAGAUAUGCUUCUGUUGGUCACAGAUACCGUUAAUAAAAAGGUAGGAUCAGGAAACCAGUCAGUAUCUGGUGUGACCAUGUGCCUCAUACAGCGCGACACAUCUCCUUCACAUAGAGUUGAUCAGGAUGUUGAUUGGUGGCCUGUGGAAUGUUUGUCCCACUUUCUCUUCCAUGGCUGUGUGAAGUCGCUGGAUAUCGGCGAGAACUGGAAAAACGCUGUCGUACACGUCGAUCCAGAGCAUCCCAAACAUGCUCAACGGGUGACAUGUUAUAUAAAUUGUAUUUUAAUGUUUAAGGACUCUUGGAAGAUUAGUCCAAAUGAGAACACAAAUAUCUGGUGAGUAUGCAGGCCAUGGAAGAACCGGGACAUUAUCCUGCUGAAACAUGAGGUGAUGGUGGUGAGGGCGCGACAACGGACCUCAGGAUCUCAUCACUGUAUUUUUUUGUUGGUGUGCAAUUCAAAUUACCAUCGAUAAAAUGCAAUUGUGUUCGUUGUGUCCGUAGCUGUCUUCCUGCCCAUAACCAUAACCCCACCAUGGGACACUCUGCACUCAAGCCUCCUUGGAUUGAUAUAACCACGUACCACGUCUCUUAGAAAUUAGCUUUCUGUGUAUUUAUUUCAUAAAAACAUGAGACCAACACUUGACAUGUUUCUAUCUUUGUUCAGUAUAAUACUACAGUAUAGUUCAGUAUAUAAAAUAUAGAAUAUGA